AAGAAACCUCAUGAAAUUACGGAGAGGUUUUAAUUUAAAAUAAAAAAUAAAAAUAAAAAUACGAGGUCCCGAAUAGUUUCUUUUCCUUCCUCCUAGACCUCCGAGGCUUCACUCCCUAAAUCCCAGGCGGCCAAGCCUAAUUUGCAAUCACCGGCAGAGGUCACUCCCUCUCACUGUAUCUGACAGUGACAUCCAAAAGGGAAGGCAUGGAGUUGGAUCAGCUUCUUCAAAAUGCCUCCCAUUUGAGAGAAAGAAAUGCAUGUAUAUACCAUUUUGAUUUGGAUCUACCAAGGGAUGCUUUUCAUAUGAGGGAGACAACUCCUGUUAACCAGCCUUUUAAACGAUAUUGUAAUUUCUGUAUGCAUUGACAGACAGAAAAGGGCAUCUCCACUGCAACAGCAAAGUUAAAAAGUGACUUUAAAGACAGAGAGAAGGGGCAUAGAAAACACAAAGACCAGCACAGUUAGAAGGAUCGUAAGAAGAAGACACUGUUACAAGGGCAAGAGCAGUGUUAAGGGUAAGAAUAUAAAUGAUGCUCAUGGAUUUAGCCUCGAGGACUUGGAGAAACAGCAGGAGAUGGUUUGCACACCAUCUUUUCUUGUUGCCCUCUGUUGAUUGUACGUCCUAAAUUUUGUUGCCAUAUGUUGGUUGCAUGAUUACGGUUUUUCUUUUUUCUUUUUUCCUUUUUUUAUGAAAGCAUUGUUAAUAUGCUAAGAACUUGCCGGAUGACUAUUAACUUGGAUGUCCAUUUGAGUGUUGUA